rnacentral:rRNA from 1 species
UACGGGGGGUGCAAGCGUUGUCCGGAAUCAUUGGGCGUAAAGAGUUCGUAGGUGGCAUGUAAAGUCUGGUGUUAAAUGCAGAGGCUUAACUUCCGUUCGGCGCUGGAUACUUGCAAGCUAGAAUGCGGUAGAGGUAAAGGGAAUUCCUGGUGUAGCGGUGAAAUGCGUAGAUAUCAGGAGGAACAUCGGUGGCGUAAGCGCUUUACUGGGCCGUAAUUGACACUGAGGAACGAAAGCCGGGGUAGCAAAU